GAUGAAGAACGUAGCGAAAUGCGAUAAGUAGUGUGAAUUGCAGAAUUCAGUGAAUCAUCGAAUCUUUGAACGCACAUUGCGCCCCUUGGUAUUCCAUGGGGCAUGCCUGUUCGAGCGUCAUUUGUACCUUCAAGCUCUGCUUGGUGUUGGGUGUUUGUCUCGCCUCUGCGUGUAGACUCGCCUCAAAACAAUUGGCAGCCGGCGUAUUGAUUUCGGAGCGCAGUACAUCUCGCGCUUUGCACUCAUAACGACGACGUCCAAAAGUACAUUUUUACACUCUUGACCUCGGAUCAGGUAGGGAUACCCGCUGAACUUAAGCAUGUCAAUAAGCGGAGGA
rnacentral:misc_RNA from 1 species